rnacentral:rRNA from 1 species
AUUGAACGCUGGCGGCAGGCCUAACACAUGCAAGUCGAGCGGAGCGGCGGACGGGUGAGUAAUGCAUAUGAAUCUGCCUGGUAGUGGGGGAUAACGUCCGGAAACGGGCGCUAAUACCGCAUACUAUCAGAUGAGCCUAGGUCGGGUUAGUUAGUUGGUGGGGUAAAGGCCUACCAAGGCGACGAUCCGUAACUGGUCUGAGAGGAUGAUCAGGCAACCUGGAACUGAGACACGGUCCAGACUCCUACGGGAGGCAGCAGUGGGGAAUAUUGGACAAUAGGCGAAAGCCUGAUGCAGCCAUGCCGCGUGUGUGAAGAAGGUCUUCGGGUUGUAAAGCACUUUAAGUUUGGAGGCGUUACCAGCAGAAUAAGCACCGGCUAACUUCGUGCCAGCAGCCGCGGUAAUAC